rnacentral:lncRNA from 1 species
AAUAAAUUUGGAUUGAAUUAAGCUAUAUUGCGGUAUGAAAAUUAUAAAUUUUUUUUUAUCUUUUUGUUUUAAAAAUAUUUAAUGAAUUUGCAUGCAUGUAAAUAUAUAUAAAUUUGUUAAUUAGUAAUUAUUAAAUUGACUGAUUGUAAAUGCUAUCAAUAAUAAUUAAUUUGCAUUAAAUUGUUAAUUAAUAAUUAUGAAAUUGAAUUAUUUUAAAUUUUAUCAAUAAUUAUUAAUUUGCAUAAAAUAAUUAAUUAAUUAUUUUUUAAUUAAAUUGAAUGAUUUUAAAUUGAAUUAAUAAUGACUAAUUAAUUUGCAUGAAAUAUUAGAAAUGUUAAUGAAUAAUUAUGAAAUUGAAUUAAUAAUUAUGAAAUUGAAUUAUUUUAAAUUUUAUCAAUAAUUAUUAAUUUGCAUAAAAUAAUUAAUUAAUUAUUUUUUAAUUAAAUUGAAUGAUUUUAAAUUGAAUUAAUAAUGAUUAAUUAAUUUGCAUGAAAUAUUAGAAAUGUUAAUGAAUAAUUAUAAAAUUGAAUGAUUUUAAAUUGAAAUAAAAAUUAUUAAUUUGCUAAUUAUUUGUUAAUAGUAAUUAUGAAAUUGAAAUGUUAAUGAUUAAUUUGUCUGAAAAGAAAAAUUUGUUAAAUAAUUAGUAAUUAUUAUGUAUUGAUUAAUUAAUUAAUUAUUUUUUUGUUUAAAAAAUAUUAAAUUAAUUAAUUUAAUAUUUUUUUAGAUUUUAAGAAAUGCCACGUAGAGUGAAGCAAUUACCUCGUCGGAGGACGCUCUACCACCCAAUCCCCAAGAUAAUAGUCAAUUAAUUUUUAUCUAAUUAAUUAUAAUUCGAUAAAAAUUUUAGGAUAAUGUCGAACGUUAUGAAAGUACCCGAUAAAGCUUGGAUGAGUUUAGAUCGGUUUUCGAAAGAAUACGGCGAAGGGUUAACAGCUUUCACUAAUUUCGCCAUUUCGAAUUCGACUCACCCAGAAGGUUAUUUACCAUGUCCAUGCUCGUCCUGCACGAAUAGUGAAGUGAUUCCUAUAAAGGAGAUGAAAAAGCAUAUUUUCAUAAAUGGUUGGUUGAAGCAUUACGAUGUUUGGACGCGUCACGG